rnacentral:rRNA from 1 species
UACGUAGGGUGCGAGCGUUAAUCGGAAUUACUGGGCGUAAAGCGUGCGCAGGCGGUGAUGUAAGACAGAUGUGAAAUCCCCGGGCUCAACCUGGGAACUGCAUUUGUGACUGCAUCGCUGGAGUGCGGCAGAGGGGGAUGGAAUUCCGCGUGUAGCAGUGAAAUGCGUAGAUAUGCGGAGGAACACCGAUGGCGAAGGCAAUCCCCUGGGCCUGCACUGACGCUCAUGCACGAAAGCGUGGGAGCAAACAGG